UCAUCCCUGGUACCACUGAAGCGAUAACGUCCUUCACCACCUGGGCAGAGAGAGAGAGAGGGAGAAGAGGAAGGGGUUGCUGAAAGAUGAGGAGAAAUGGAAGAAGAUGGAGUAUUUCAAUAAGCAUUGGAGAGAGCAGUCCCUGCUUCCAAAACAGACUCAACAGACAGUUAAAGAGGACAGGGAGAGGAGGAAGGAACAUUACCUAAAAGAACAGGAGGAGAAAUGACUGGAGGAGAUGAAUCUGGAGGCUGAUUACAUUAGAUUAGAAGUUUAAUUGUCACAUGUACAGGGUUGACGGGCAAAUCAAGAAGUUCAGCACCCAGUUCAUCAACCAGUUUCCAUCUGACUACAACCACGAUCAACAGUUGCUGGGGUGGGCCACGGGCCAGAAGGUAAACCAAGGCCUCGCUGGGUUGUACAUGACCAGCCGGGGGAGCCAGAGAGCCAGCAGAGGGGACCAGAGAGCCAGCAGGGGAUUUCAGAGGUGGCUGAGAAAUCAGUCAACCACCAAACCCAAGAAAAAGGCAGGCAUCUGCAAGAGAAUUAAGACGUGCAUUCCUGACCUCCUGUUGCUCAGAACUGAAACUGGGCGGAGCCACACUGCCACUAGACUACAUUGGUAUUUAAAGUGUCUCCCAAUAAUUCCUCCUCCUCUUCUUCAAGGCCACAUUUCCUCAACAAAACAUUAUAAGCUCCUCAAGUCAGCAGUAUCCUCUUCAUCGAGGCAACAAACAUUCUAAGUGGCUCCACAGACCAGAGAUUCUCAUCUUUAUCCAAGUUGAACACAUCGCUGGUCAGUUCCACCACCCUCCUGUCCUAGACCUAGAAGAUAUCUCCCAACUCAACAUGGUGAAACAAUUUGAGAGGCACAGGGAAAGCCAUGGAGCAGCACCCCUUGGAUGAAGAGCCAUUUAGGGGUUAAGUGCCUUGAUCUAGGGCACAACGGCAGGAGAUGGUACCUGGGAGCAAAGUACUGUUCAGCUUUACUAAAAGCAUGAAUUAAAAAAAGUGACAUUGUUUUUACGGUGUUGAUUUUUUUGGUUAUUUAUUAGAAUUUAAACAUACAUCAUGGAAUAUUAUAUGUUAGACUUCCAGUGAAUCUCCUAACAUUCCAUCAGUUUGCUACAAUGUGUGACUGAUAUGUUAUAUUAGAGAGGGGUCAUCUCUUGCUGGCCCAACAUUUAUAAGUUAAGAGCGUUGGACCAGCAAAUAGAAAGGUCGCUGGUUCGAAUCCCAGAGCAAACCUGGUGAAAAGUCUGUCGAUGUGCUCUAAAAUGUGAACGUUAUCUAUACAGUCUAUUUUAGACCAUAGGAUAAAUGUCAGAUUGAAAUAGCUUCUCUAAAUGAAGUGGUGGCAGAAUAUGAGAGAAACAAUAGAUACAUAGUUAGCUCUCCGACCUACAGAACUUGGGUAGUUCCACCAAUUGAGGACCGUUUAGGUAGUGUAACUUUACUUCACCUAAUUUUAACAUUCUGUAAAGAGCACAUGUUCACCUUAAUGGCUAACUCUUUUUAUCUCUGGGUAAUAAAAAAGAGGCAUCAUGGAAGGAUUCAACCUGUGAUUAAGGUUCUACUAAGCUAUAAUAUGGAGUUAUUUUAAGAUGGUCAAACAUUACCAAGGAUCAUUUAGCUAUUUCAUUUUGAAUUUUAGGGCCCCUUUAUGUACACUACCGUUCAAAAGUUUGGGGUCAUUUAGAAAUGUCCUUGUUUUUGAUAGAAAAGCACUUUUGUUUUUGUCCAUUAAAAUAACAUCAAAAUGAUCAUAAAUACAAUGUAGACAUUGUUAAUGUUGUAAAUGACUAUUGUAGCUGGAAACGGCAGAUUUUUUAUGGAAUAUCUACAUAGGCGCAAUUCAGAAGAAAGUUAUUUGUUCUGGCCAUUUUGAGCCUGUAAUCGAACCCACAAAUGCUGAUGGUCCAGAUACUCAAAUAGUCUAAAGAAGGCCAGUUUUAUUGCUUCUUUAAAACCCUGGUUUCCAUACAAUGAGAACAGUCUUCACAGCAGAUACUGUCUGCUCUGAAGUAUUCAUUUAUUUCAUAACAUAUCCUAACCCUUUGACCCAUUCCACACAUCUGUUGUUUGUCACGUAUUCAGGAGGAUUUGUCUUAACUAUAAACUGCUGUGGCUUAGUUCUGCUCGUAGAGUUCCUCAGUGAUCACCUCCGGGUGGUUACCGACAAACUCCAUUACUGCAGUAAUUAAAUAAUAAAGUUCAAUUGUUUUGAAGAAAUCUAAAAGUCUCUCUGCUUUGAUUAGAAUAAUUCCAUGACAUAACACUCAAAGUGAUUGUUUUGAGAAGAAUGGACAGAGUCUUGCUGAAGAUAUGUGUGCCUCCAUCAUUGCCAAGUUGCAAGCUAGUGGUGUUGCAAAUAGUGUCGUGUCAACAGUAGUGUGUGAUUGAUAAGAUCUUACUACUAGGCUGCACUCCCAAAUUAAACAACGUGUUCUGUCAGUUCUGCCUAUGGAUAACCCCUCUACAUCUGCUGGAAAGGAUAGUUUUGAGAACUUUGAAAACCCAUUUGCCAGUUUUACCACAGAAACCAAGAGAACAUAGUACUUCAACCAGAAAUGGGGUGUUGUGGAGCCAGUAGAAGUAGUGUUGGGAGUGAAAUUUGAUAGUAGGCGAAAUAGACAAACAGGCAUGUAUGAUCAAAUCCCAGUGAAAGACACGUUUGCAGCACUUCCAUGUUUGUAGUAAUUUUUAUGUGGACAUACAUAA
rnacentral:lncRNA from 8 species